rnacentral:rRNA from 1 species
CCCUAGUAUAAUUUUUUAUUUGAGAUUAAUAAUUAUAAAAAUUAAAAAUUUUGGCGGUUAAUUAUAAAUUAGAGGAGCUUGUUUGAAUUAAGAAUUUACUCUUUAAAUUUUAAUAUUAAGUAAGUUUAUUCAUCUCUGUUAUUAAUAAUACUUAUAAUAAUUAAUUUUAUUAUUUCAGGUCAAGAUGUAGUUUUUAAUAUUUAAAAUUAGCUACAAUUAUAAAAUAUUGGGAUAUAAUUUUGUAUUAAUUGUAAAAAGUGAAUUUAGCUGUAAUAGUAAUUAGAAUAUUAUUAUGAUUUUUAAUAGUUGAUGCA